rnacentral:siRNA from 1 species
CAAAGCUUUCAUGUUGUAGCCA